AGCGAACGCUGGCAGCAGGCCUAACACAUGCAAGUCGAACGAAGUCUUCGGACUUAGUGGCGGACGGGUGAGUAACACGUGGGAACGUACCUUUUGGUUCGGAACAACUCAGGGAAACUUGAGCUAAUACCGGAUGAGCCCUUAGGGGGAAAGAUUUAUCGCCGAAAGAGCGGCCCGCGUUAGAUUAGCUAGUUGGUGAGGUAAAGGCUCACCAAGGCUACGAUCUAUAGCUGGUCUGAGAGGAUGAUCGGCCACACUGGGACUGAGACACGGCCCAGACUCCUACGGGAGGCAGCAGUGGGGAAUCUUGCGCAAUGGGCGAAAGCCUGACGCAGCCAUGCCGCGUGAAUGAUGAAGGUCUUAGGAUUGUAAAAUUCUUUUACCAGGGACGAUAAUGACGGUACCUGGAGAAAAAGCCCCGGCUAACUUCGUGCCAGCCGCCGCAGUAACAC
rnacentral:rRNA from 1 species